AGGAAGAAUUUCUACAUUGAGACUAGUAAGUGUGAAUUAUGUGGUGAUGAACCUAAUGAACAUUUAAUGCAUCUGUUUUUUAGCUGUGAUUUCAGUCAAAACUUCUGGAUGAACAUUGGCUACCAAUGGAACACUGAUCAUAACCUCAUAGAAAUGCUCCUGGAGGGAAGGAAGCAAGAUACACAUGGAUGCUUUAAAGAAUGUCUGGUUGCUGGAUGCUGGAGUAUAUGGAAACACAGAAAUAGCAUAAUUUUUUACAACAAGGUCAAAAAUAUGACACUCUGUAUUGCCACUUUCAAGGAGCACAUUUGCAUGAUUAUAAAGAAGGCAAAACCAGGAUUGAAAGGGGGCAUGCAAAGCUAGCUAGAUCAUUUGUAG
rnacentral:rRNA from 1 species